GACAUAGGUCGCAAACGUUAUCCGGAAUUAUUGGGCGUAAAGGGUGCGUAGGCAGCAUAAUAAGUUAUUGGCGGUAAAUCGAGGCUCAACCUCGUGGAAACUGAUAAUACUGUUUUGCUUGAGUACAGAAGAGGUUAACGGAACUCCAUGUGGAACGGUAAAAUGUGUAGAUAUAUGGAAGAACAUCAAUAACGGCGAAGGCAGUUAACUAUUCUGUUACUGACGUUGAGGCACGAAAGCGUGGGGAGCAAAAAGG
rnacentral:rRNA from 1 species